rnacentral:lncRNA from 1 species
CACAAACUUUGUGUUAGGCUAAUAGUUUUCAUUUCCCGUCUCAUGGAAAACCCUUUUCGCUCCGCUUAUCCCUAUCUCCCUCUAGGGGUAUUUUAGUGAUAGGUUCUAUAGGAAUCGGACGAUCCUAUUUGGUCAAAUACCUAGCGACAAACUCCUAUGUUCCUUUCAUUACAGUAUUUCUGAACAAGUUCCUGGGGAACAAAGGUAACAAAGGUUUUUUUAUUGAUGAUAGUGACGAUAUUGAUGAUAGUGACGAUAUUGAUGCUAGUGACGAUAUUGAUGAUAGUGACGCUAUUGAUGAUAGUGACGAUAUCGAUUGUGACCUUGAUACGGAGCUGGGGUUUCUAGAUAUCGAUAUUAUGGAUAUGAUGUCGGAAAUAGACCGAUUUUAUAUCACCCUUCAAUUCGAACUAGCAAAAGCAAUGUCUCCUUGCAUAAUAUGGAUUCCAAACAUUCAUGAUCUGGAUAUGAAUGAGGCGAAUGACUUAUCUCUCCA